GACAUAGGUCGCAAACGUUAUCCGGAAUUAUUGGGCGUAAAGGAUGCGUAGAUGGUUCAGUAAGUUACUGGUGGGAAAUCGAGGCUCAACCUCGUGGAAGUCAGUAAUACUGUUGAACUUGAGUGCAGGAGAGGUUAACGGAACUUUAUGUGGAGCGGUAAAAUGCGUAGAUAUAUGAAAGGACAUCAAUAUGGCGAAGGCAGUUAACUAUUCUGUUACUGACGUUGAGGCAUGAAAGCGUGGGGAGCAAAACGG
rnacentral:rRNA from 1 species